UACUGCAGGCAAAUGGCUUACACAGGAGGUCCUGAGCUCUGAGCACAGAGACCAGCAUGUGCCAUUUAACUCCUAUCGUGUCACUUUUAUGGCAGCUUCUGGUGGUGUUCCUGUGUCUGGCCUUGGUCACGAUUUGAUGGGCCUGGUAACUGGUGCUAAUCCUUGAGCUAUGCAGCCUCAAAGAAAGGGCUUUGCUUCCCAUGCUUCUGAAUGGACAUUCUGAUCAUGGUGGUGAUCAGAGCACUCUGAGUCUGGCCUAAGCACAGACAUGGGAUGCAGAGUGUUCUGAGCUUCACUGUCCUCAGUACAGUGCUCCAAAUCUCAGAGCUGGUGGCUCCAGCAUGGAUCUGUCAGUUUCCAGAGCAGACAUCCGGCAGAACUGCCAUUCAAGAUUUGCUGCCAAUGUUGGAGUGUACUUGAAGCUACAGAGAGAACCUCCUGUCAAGGAAGACAUGUAAGAUGCUAUGAUUCUGCUUGGAGCUGGUUCACACUCCUCAACUGGUGAACACGAUGAAUUUUUUUCAAGAUGACAGCUUGUCUUGGAAAAGUAGAACAGCAGAUGGGAAGGGAGGAGCACCCUCCCUGGCAGAUCUGAUCACUGUGCUUACUGAGAUCUUUAAAACAUGAUGAGGAAAACCGACCAAACCAUUCCCUUUGCUUCCAGAUUGAGUAAGAUGUCAAUUGGCAUGAACAGAUAAUUGGAUUUCUACUUUUACUGCCAGCACUCCCAGAAAAAAAAGAAGUGCAAAGAAAGAAUUCAAGGGAAACAGUGAGAUUUGUCACCCUCUCCAUCAUUACUCAAACUUUCACAGCUAGUGGAAUUAUCAGGAGGCUGAAAAAUAUACAGGAGAGGCGAUUUGCUAGCUGUGUGUGACUGAACUGGGUUAAGGAAGAGUGUACAUUCUGUGUAGGAGCACCCAGAGCUGAGAAGACAUUGCCCAACAAAACUGAAAGAAGCUUGGUUCCCAAUGUGAAAGCCACAGACUUGGAAUAUCUGAAGGUCUUUUAAUACUUCAGUACUUCUAAAGAAGGCUGGAAUACGUGGAGAUUUGUGUUUUAUGGUUGAAUUAUCCAAUUCACUUAUGCUUGUGCAGAUCGCUAUAAUGGUGCAAAAUGAGAGUAGGAUGUAACCUAUAUGAGUGUAAACACCUAUCUACAGCUUUGGACAAUAGGGAGACAGCUUGAGGUUGCUCUCAGCCAGUGUUUCACUUGUGAAUAGGAGAAUGAACUCUGUUGAAAAGUCUGCUGGAUACAUGUAGAUAUCUUUCUGGCUUUUCGGAAGGGCCUUCAGACAAUGUUAGUACCAGCAUCCACAAGCAUGCAAGCAUUAUCGUGAAUCAGAGGUAUUUAAGGCCUAUAUGUUCUGAAUGUUAAGGGAGACAAAAAAAAAAAAAAAAAAAGCAGGAGAGCUGUUUAGGGAUCACAAAUGGGGCAGAAAGGUAUGGAAGUAUGAGGAGAAAGUAUAGCCAACUAUGCAAAAGAGGAAAGUGGGAGCAGAAAGCAAGCCACCAGGACCUCACUGAAAUGGAACUGUAGGUAGCCUAAUGCAAAUGUAGCCUCUUCACUUUUCAGCUACCUAUGUAAAGAUAUCUCUAUGUGCUAGAUCCAGCAGUACAUUAACAAAGAACUACAUGAAGUGCUGAAAAACUGGAAGGGGUUUUUUUUUUUUUUGCAAGAGUUAAUGGACAGGACUAGCAGUGAUAAUUCCAGUGUAGAAUGACCAGAGAACAACAACGAACUUUGAACUGAAUUAAGAGAAUAAGGCUCUCUGCGCUGGGAAUCUGAAAGCAAAUGAAACAGAAGAAAUCACGCAUUACUGAUAAGUUGUCAGUAAGUGAGAAAAUAGUUUCUGUAUGGCAGAGCUGUGUCACUACUUGCCAAGCUGGACAACUGACUGAAUCUGUCAUCUCUAACUUCCUUCACAGUUCUUCCCAUUUUCUCUUUGACUGCCAAGAUGCUAGCCGGGAUCCCAAGCUGCUUGCUCAGAGAAAGAUCUGCACUGCUUCUGCCCACAGGCACAAACAACAGAUGAACUCUGCUCUACUUCAGUGUUGCCCGAGAGCCCUUUUUUGACUUUGAUAAUCCUCAUAGCUGUGCUGUUGCCAGGACUAUUGCUAACAUAGGAAAGGCGUGCUAUUUUUCAGCUAACCUGUCAUUAACCUUCUUAAUGAAAUAGAAAUUGCUAUUUUAUUGAGGAAACUCUAGAUUUUACAUGGGAUUUCAUACCCUUUCCUUUCCUGGCUAAGAUCCUUCCAUGAACUGGAUGAUAAGAAUAUGAUCUUUAAGAGAGUAAAUACCUUCAGAUCUACACCAGAAAACCCAGACUACUGGUCAUGUUGUACAGAUGAGCUGUAAGCUUUCCAUACCUUGUGGCUUCUGGUGUUAGUCAUCUGCCUCUGCACUCUGUUUUGCCCAUAGAAGACAGAACGUGCAUAUUAUGCAAAUUUGUUCUAAUUAUACUUGUAGAAGCAGCUGUAACAAAAGCAAAUGGAGUACAUUUGCCCUCCCUUACACAGGACUUUCUGCCUUGUUCACCUAGUGACUUGCUGAUACCCAGGGCAGCAUGAGAGCAGUAUGUUUGACGCUAAACUCUUGAGUCAUUUGUGAACUAACUGACUUCAUUGAAAUUGAGGAAUAUUUUCCUUUCAAUAGAUUUUGAUAGAUCAAAACUUUUAUAGAAAUAAAAAUGCUAAGGGAGGAUACUUGCCACAGACUUUGAUCAAUAGCUUUUGGCAGUGACACAGUCUCCUCCUACUUUGAACUUUGCGCAUUUCACUGAAGUUUACCAAACCAUCUUUCUAAUUGUGACUCAUGAGAGUUUAGCAUUCACAAGAAAAGGGUCAUUAUGUCUCUAAGUGAUGCCCAGACUGAAGGAUUUUUGACAUUGUCCUGUAGUUAAUUUGGGAGACGUGGUUAACCUGUGUUGCUUGUGGUCAAUAUGGAAUGUCUUUACUGAGAUGUUCCAGGUGUUAUCUCAUUCUGUCUCAUGCCAGGGGCACUGUAUUGCAUUUUUGGAAAAUCUAAUUUCCUGUUUCACUUUAGUUCCUGUUUUAUACUGGACAAGAUUCCACUUUGGACAGCUCUGAUGGCAGUGACAUCACUACCUUAGACUGCUCCCAUGGAAGUCUGUGUUACUUUGAAUCCUCCAUUACACGAGUUGGCCAUUCAGUUUAGGAUAAUGAAAUGAAGAAUAAUGUUAAUUUUGUUAUGAUGCAGCAGACAACGAGGAGGAAGUAACAUAGUCCGCACUGACCAGCAAAAGCAGAGCUCUGCUUCAGCACCUAUCCUUCAGCUUCACUACGAAAAACAGAUAUGAAGCCCUUACAGCAAUAGACACCCAUGACACCCAGGAGCAAGAUCUGCAAGAAGAAACCAUGUCAGCAGCCUGAUUAAAAAAAAAAAAAAAAAAAGAAAGAAAGAAACUCUGUGUGCUUUUAUGGGUGACUCCCUGUUAAAAGGCACUGAGGCUCCCCUCUACUGGGCUGAUAGGGAGCCUCUAGAGGUUUGUUGCCUCCUGGGGGCCAAGACCCAGGAUACUGCCACGAGUACUGCACCUUGUAUACAGCAUGGACAGCUGCCCACUAUUGCUCUUUCUUGGGGCAUGAAUGACAGAAGAAACCAGAACAUGGGCAGAAUAAAAAAAGACUAUGAAGCCCCUGGAGAACAAUUAAAAACAACUGGUGCCCAAGUUAUCUUCUCAAUUUUGCCAGUUGAAGGGAAGAGAAGAGCCAGAAAUAGACAUAUAAUGUGUGUGAAUUCCUGUCUACAUGGCUAGUGCUGAUGUGAGGGUUUUGAUUUUUAUGACACUGGGACUGUCUAUGAAGAUUAUAACCUGUUACGAAGGGAUGGGAUCUACCUGUCUAGAUAAGGCAGGGCAAUCAUUGGCAGCAGGCUGGGAAACCUAGUGAGGGAGACAUUCAGCUGAAGGACUUGGGGGUUGAGGUUGAAAAUUGCAAUGCUCAUGCCAUUAUAAUUGUGCAGGGAAUGAGCCAGGCCAACCAGAACAAUGCCAAAUGUUCCUUAGCUGCAUCCCAUGGCAGGAGCCAGAAGGCUAAGCUGCCUCAAGGCUGUGUAUAGCUACAGGGGAUCCUCUUGAAUCCCUCUAGGGAUACCUGUACCCUCUGAUCCCUUUUCUUCUCUAAAGUGUCUGUAUAACAGUGCAUAAACAGGAGCAGAUAGAGAUCUGUGUGAGGUUACAAGGCCAUGAUUUCAUUGUCAUGAUGGAGACAUGGCUAAUAUAGGUGACACCUUUGUGGAUUUUUACUACAAACCCCUUGAUCAGGAGGAGGAAGUUGAUGAGGCCUUCUGAUAACAGCUGAAAGUAGUCUCACAAUCACAGGUGCUGAUUCUAAUGGGGGUCUUCAAGCACUCUGAUUGUUGCUGGAAAAGCAACACUGCCAAGGACAUGCAGUCCAGGAGGUUUCUGCAAUGAGAUGAAGAUAACUUUUUGUGGCAGAUGGUGGAGGGGCCAAUGAGGAGAGGUGUGUUGCUGGACCUUGUUCUUACUAACAAGGAAGGGCUGGUUGGUUAUGCGAAGGUUGGGAGCAGCCUGGGAUGUAGUGAUCAUGAGCUAGUGAAGUUCAGGAUCUUGCAUGCAUAAAGCAAGGCAAUAAAUAGGAUUGCAACCCCGGACUUCAGGACAGCCAGCUUUGACCUUUUUGAGGACUAGCUUGGAGGUAUCCCAUUGAUUAGAGCAUUGGGAGGUAAGGGGGGCAAGAGAAUGAAGCUCAAGAUCAGCGCAUCCUUGAGAGUAAGAAAUCCUGAAAAGGUGGUAGGAAGACUGCAAGAAUAGGCAAGGAGCUUGUGGAAAAACUCAAAUGGAAGAAUGUCUAUGCAACAUGGACAGGUGCCUGAGUACUGGAGGAAAGCCAGUGUCACUCCAGUCUUCAAAAGAGCAAGUAGGAGCCAGGAAAAUCCAGGCUAGUCAACCUCACCUCCAUCCCUGGGAAGGUGAUCGAGCAGUUCAUUAUAGAUAUCAUCUCCAAGCAAGUGGAAGAAAAGGAUGUUAUCAGGAGUAGUAAACAUGGAUUCACUGAGGAGAAAUCAUGCCUGACAAGGCUCCCCAGUUCAAGAAAGACAAGGAACAUCUGGAGAGAGUCCAGUGGAGGGCCACGAAAAGGAUGAGUGGCCUGGAGCAUCUCCUGUAUGAGGAAAGGCUGGGAGACUUGGGGCUGUUUAGCCUGGAGAAGAGAAGACUGAGUGGAGAUUUUAUCAAUGCUUAUUAAUAUCUAAUGCGGACAUGUCCAGCCCACUGCUCACAGGCCACAUACAGCCUGGCCCAGCCCACCCUGCUGCUGUUCCCUGCCCUGCACCAUCAUGAUAGUGGCUUGUCCUCGUUCACAACAACCAAACAUCAGUGUGCAAUUGCCACCAUUUGCCCAGAAACCCGGGAACAGGGAGGGCUCAGUGCAGUGCUGUCUCAAGUUAUGGCAAAUAGUUGUAUGCAUUUUAGUACACUGGCUAAACAGAGUCCUGUGAACUGUGAAAAAUAUGCAGCUGUGCUUUUGGUUUUGAUAAAGGAAUUUAAAUAAGUUUCAAGGUUGUUGAAAAAAAAAAUUUUUUUUGUGUAUUUGUGACUCCAUUUUCAGUCAACAUAAAUACAUUAUCUGCCAAUUCCCAGAUAAAAUGUAUAGAGUUGCAAUCAGAUUCAACCAAAAAUUUGAUCAUGUAUGUCUCCUUGCUAAACUUUGAUAUGUCCUAUCAUAGAGGAAAAAAAUAUCCCUCACUUUACAGUCAUGAGGGAGGUGGAGGGGUAGUGCUGAGUUCUGCUCUCUGGUGACAGUGACAGGACCCAAAGCAAUGGCAUGGAGCUGUGUCAGGGGAUGGUCAAAGGAGUGUUUGAAGAGGAGUUUCCGUACUUAAACAUAUGCAGUAAAUAGCAGUGUCUCAGACCAGAACAUACAAACAGGCUUCCAGAGAAGCUGUGGGUGCCCAUCCCUGAAGGCACUCAAGGCCAGGUUGGAUGGGGCCCUGUGCAGCCUGAGCUGGCGCGGGGCAGCCCUGCCCACAGCAGGGGGGAUUGGGGCUGGGUGGGCUUUAAGGUCCCUUCCCAUCCAAGCAAUUCCAUGGUUCUAUGAUUUUUACUGUCUGAAUCAAGCUGGAAUAUUUGCUUGUUGCCUGCAGCCCUCCUACUGAAAGAAAACUUUUUUUUUCUUUUGGAGGGGGAGGAGGAGACAGCUGUAUUUUGAUAGUAAAAUAUAAUGUCUUCUGAAUUAUUAUUCUGUGUUCUUUUUUUUCUCACUGUGAUAGGAAAAGUCUGGGUAAUGUAUACAUCUUUGGGUUUAACAGCUCAAACGCAUUACAACUAAAGAAAAGAAAAAUCAAAGAUCAUAAACAGCACAUAAUAUAUCAGAUGUGGAGCGCUUUCAGCCUAGUGAUCAUCUUUAAUGCCUCCAGAAGAGAUUUGUGACAUAGUGUCAGGAUAGACUCAUCAACACAGAAAAGCUCACCAUAUUUCUAAAGUUAAAAAGUAAAGAAAUAGUCCCUUCAAACUUUUUAAAAGCAUUCAUUAAUGUUGAAUUUUUCACAGAACUGAAAGACCUUGUAAAUGGUUACUUGACAUAACUGUAAGCUAGUGAUGAGUACAAAGUGCAAAGAAACCCCCUAUCAGAGCUGGAUGACAAGCUAAAUGCAAACUGCUAGGAGUUCAUUCCUCCUAAAUGCAUUGAAAAUUGUUCUUUAGGAUUCGAAAGUCAAAAUCUGACACUUCUAUGACCAAAAUCAAAGAAGGAAACAUCACUUUGCCUUUCUGAAAUCUGUAAAAAAAAGGAACUUCACUAAAAUCAAUUUCUUCUGACAAGUGCUUGUUUUAUCUGAAAAAGCUCUCAUUUAUUUAUCAUCUCUGUAUUGAAGGGUUUGCUUGCAGUUAAGAAAUGGCUUUAAGAUUCUUCAUUCUAUCUCUUUAACUGUAAGGUCAAUCUCUGGUAUGCCAAGUACUUACCGUACCACAGGGAGCUGGAGCUUGUUUCAGAAAUUCACAAGAAAUUCAACACACUUGCUAUGACCAGCUUUUUCUGAUUGUUUGAAUGUGCUGCAAUUUUGCCACUAAUAGCUUGGAACUGGAAUUUUCCAUUUAUGGUGAAUGUUACUGCUACGCAAAACCUCAGACUCACAUCAGAACAAACCUUUAUUAUUUUCUAGUUCAGUAUGCUGAUGCUUCUUUUAUUACUGGGAGUUGGAGGGGAGAAGGGUUUGGGGGAGGUGUUUACAGUCUAGGAGAAUUCAGAGUUGCACAGAAAUAAUUUCAGUUCCCUUUUGUUUUAAUGUAUCAAUCCUUAAGUGUUUCUGUUAGGAGAAAAAUAAUUUUCUGAAGCAUAUGCUGAACUACAUCCAUUCUCCAUUUGGGAGAGUUGUUUUGACUCCCUAAGGAUGAUGUGGUACUCUUUCUCUUCCAGCCUGCUGUGAGAAGAGAAAACCCUGCACACCUGGAACCCAAGAGAACUGCAAAGGAAAGCUCAGUGCAAUUCUUUGGUAUGGAGAGACCUUGUAAAUACCAACAGUAUCAUAUUCAUAAGGGUGAAAACUUCAGCUAAAACAGGAAUCUUCAUACCCCAAAUAUGAGGAAAAAAAAAAAAAACAACAACCCCUAACAUUUCUAGAUGUCAUAAUAUAAAAGAACAGCAGCAAAAGAGAACCUUCAUGGAGGUUCAGAUUUUCAGGUGACGUCUUUGACAAAGGGGCAGCAAUUUAUGUGCUGACAUUUGUAACUUUGUAUCUAUCUUUAUAUCUAUCCCUAUCUAUUUGUCUGUCUAUCUACCUGUCAACUAUCUUCAUUUUCAGCUUUACUGUCAUCUAAGCCUGUUAUCUUUAACUACACAAGCGUGUGUAUUCAUAUGCCUGUACACUGCGCUGUUGAGCAGAAACCAAAGAACAGACUUGACUUGGGACACCAAUUUCUGUUGCCAGGAUACACUCUGACUUCCUGUCUCUUCAGAUGCUGCCUGCGAGUUUUCUUGUCUUGAAGGUCUCUACAACAUCAAGUACAGAUACUGGAUUUAGGAUACAGUUGUAACCUAAGUGUUAGGAAGCCUUGACUACAAACUGACCACGUUGCAACAUGCCCAUGGGUUAUUCUGCUAUACAAUCUUUUACAUUUGAAUACCUGCAUUUGAGUCUGGCUUUGUGUGCAGAACAAUUUUUUAUGCCUGGGGGCAUCACCCAACAUGAUGAUGAAGUGUGAGCUGAAAGUUCUGCAUUGGCUGUUCAAUGGAAGAAGAGGGCUUGAGGGAGCAUUGCUGAUUAGGCAAGGGCCUUAGCAUGACCUACAUAUAGAGUGGGCAGGAAUAACACCUUCUGACUUCUCUACAGUUUAUAUCUUUUGUUCUUCUUGAGCAUUUUGAGGUUGAGGAGAAAGAAGCACAUAGAAGAAAGGUUUUUUUUUCUCAGGAGGCUGACUACCGUCUCAUAGAAUCAUAGAAUUAGCUAGGUUGGAAAAGACCUACAAGAUCAUCCAGUCCAACUGUUGUACCUUCUGAAACCUUCCGAAAGAGGAUACAUAAAGGUGCGAAACAGGGUUAAAGAGCCCAGUGAACUUGAACUUGCUCUGAGUGCUACUACCAGAGCCGAAAGCCGUGAGGCAUCAUGGCACAUCCUGCUUUGGAUGGGCUGCUACAUACAAUCUUGCAAAUUAACAAACCUAGGAAACCUUGCAUAGGUGGACAACAGUUCCAUUCUUGUCUGUGGAGAAACAGGAUUCAUAUCAAUGGCUGGUGUUCGUACUGAGUUUAUGUGGCAAUGUUUUGGCAGUGGGAGUGCAGGGCAGCCUCUGUGAGCAGCAUUGUUCCAGCAGGGCCCCGUGCUACAGUGCCGUGUUGGAGCAGAGGGACUGGGGAUGAGUGGCAGAGACGGAGCGCUAUGGACUGAGCGCAGCACCCUUUGCACAUUCCCAUGUGCUGCUUGGGGGGAGGUAUGAAAGGGUGGGAAGGGGAAAGGUGGUUUUAGUUUGUUUUCAGUGCUCUCUGCACUAGUCCAUUAG